rnacentral:rRNA from 1 species
ACUCAAAUGAAUUGACGGGGGCCCGCACAAGCAGCGGAGCGUGUGGUUCAAUUCGAUGCAACGCGAAGAACCUUACCCGGGCUUGACAUGCGCGUGGUACCGAGCCGAAAGGGGAGGGACCCGCGAGGGAGCGCGCACAGGUGCUGCAUGGCUGUCGUCAGCUCGUGCCGUGAGGUGUUGGGUUAAGUCCCGCAACGAGCGCAACCCCCGCCGUCAGUUGACUCUCUGGCGGGACCGCCGGGUUGAACCCGGAGGAAGGUGGGGAUGACGUCAAGUCAGCACGGCCCUUACGUCCGGGGCUACACACACGCUACAAUGGCCGGUACAGAGGGCAGCGAAGGGGCGACCCGGAGCCAAUCCCGCGAAAGCCGGCCCCAGUGGGGAUCGGGGGCUGCAACUCGCCCCCGUGAACGCGGAGUUGCUAGUAACCGCCGGUCAGCACACGGCGGUGAAUACGUUCCCGGGCCUUGUACACACCGCCCGU